rnacentral:rRNA from 1 species
CCUGGCGGCGAUAGCGCGGUGGUCCCACCUGACCCCAUGCCGAACUCAGAAGUGAAACGCCGUAGCGCCGAUGGUAGUGUGGGGUUUCCCCAUGUGAGAGUAGGGAACUGCCAGG